UACGUAGGGACCAAGCGUUGUCCGGAUUUAUUGGGCGUAAAGAGCGUGUAGGCGGCCAAGUAAGUCUGCUGUGAAAACUCGAGGCUCAACCUCGAGACGUCGGCGGAAACCAUCUGGCUAGAGUCCGGAAGAGGAGAGUGGAAUUCCUGGUGUAGCGGUGAAAUGCGCAGAUAUCAGGAAGAACACCUAUAGCGAAGGCAGCUUGCUGGGACGUUACUGACGCUAAGGCGCGAAAGCGUGGGGAGCGAACAGG
rnacentral:rRNA from 1 species